GACGAACGCUGGCGGCGUGCUUAACACAUGCAAGUCGAACGGAAAGGCCCUGCUUUUGUGGGGUGCUCGAGUGGCGAACGGGUGAGUAACACGUGAGUAACCUGCCCUUGACUUUGGGAUAACUUCAGGAAACUGGGGCUAAUACCGGAUAGGAGCUCCUGCUGCAUGGUGUGGGUUGGAAAGUUUCGGCGGUUGGGGAUGGACUCGCGGCUUAUCAGCUUGUUGGUGGGGUAGUGGCUUACCAAGGCUUUGACGGGUAGCCGGCCUGAGAGGGUGACCGGCGACAUUGGGACUGAGAUACGGACCAGACUCCUACGGGAGGCAGCAGAGGGGAAUAUUGCAGAAUGGGCGGAAGCCUGAUGCAGAAACGCCGCGAGCGGGAUGACGGCCUUCGGGUUGGAAACAGAUUUCGACUGUGACGAAGAGUGAGUGACGGUAAUGGGUAAAGAAGCACCGGCUAACUACGUG
rnacentral:rRNA from 1 species